rnacentral:rRNA from 1 species
UACGUAGGGCGCAAGCGUUAUCCGGAAUUAUUGGGCGUAAAGAGCUCGUAGGCGGUUUGUCGCGUCUGCCGUGAAAGUCCGGGGCUCAACUCCGGAUCUGCGGUGGGUACGGGCAGACUAGAGUGCAGUAGGGGAGACUGGAAUUCCUGGUGUAGCGGUGAAAUGCGCAGAUAUCAGGAGGAACACCGAUGGCGAAGGCAGGUCUCUGGGCUGUAACUGACGUGAGGAGCGAAAGCAUGGGGAGCGAACAGG